rnacentral:rRNA from 2 species
CUGUAAGCCUGUGAAGGUGGCCUGUGAGGGUUGCUGGAGGUAUCAGAAGUGCGAAUGCUGACAUAAGUAACGAUAAAGCGGGUGAAAAGCCCGCUCGCCGGAAGACCAAGGGUUCCUGUCCAACGUUAAUCGGGGCAGGGUGAGUCGACCCCUAAGGCGAGGCCGAAAGGCGUAGUCGAUGGGAAACAGGUUAAUAUUCCUGUACUUGGUGUUACUGCGAAGGGGGGACGGAGAAGGCUAUGUUGGCCGGGCGACGGUUGUCCCGGUUUAAGCGUGUAGGCUGGUUUUCCAGGCAAAUCCGGAAAAUCAAGGCUGAGGCGUGAUGACGAGGCACUACGGUGCUGAAGCGACAAAUGCCCUGCUUCCAGGAAAAGCCUCUAAGCAUCAGGUAACAUCAAAUCGUACCCCAAACCGACACAGGUGGUCAGG